rnacentral:rRNA from 1 species
AACGAACGCUGGCGGCAGGCUUAACACAUGCAAGUCGAACGCCCCGCAAGGGGAGUGGCAGACGGGUGAGUAACGCGUGGGAACGUACCUUUCAGUUCGGAAUAACUCAGGGAAACUUGUGCUAAUACCGGAUACGCUCGUAAGAGGAAAGACUUAUCGCUGAAAGAUCGGCCCGCGUUGGAUUAGCUAGUUGGUGGGGUAAUGGCCUACCAAGGCGACGAUCCAUAGCUGGUCUGAGAGGAUGAUCAGCCACACUGGGACUGAGACACGGCCCAGACUCCUACGGGAGGCAGCAGUGGGGAAUAUUGGACAAUGGGCGAAAGCCUGAUCCAGCCAUGCCGCGUGAGUGAUGAAGGCCCUAGGGUUGUAAAGCUCUUUCACCAGGGACGAUAAUGACGGUACCUGGAGAAAAAGCCCCGGCUAACUUCGUGCCAGCAGCCGCGGUAAUAC